AUUUGCACAUCCUGUUUCGCUAAUGGGCAAAUGAUGGAGUUUUCAAAACAACUCUGCUAGGCAAUGUAAGGGACCUGACAGACCUAGUCA